rnacentral:hammerhead_ribozyme from 1 species
ACCCGGCUGACAAGACCCAAAUAGGACGAAACGCGCGUUCUGGAU